CCCAGACUCCUACGGGAGGCAGCAGUGAGGAAUAUUGGUCAAUGGGCGCGAGCCUGAACCAGCCAAGUAGCGUGAAGGAUGACUGCCCUACGGGUUGUAAACUUCUUUUAUAAAGGAAUAAAGUGAGGCACGUGUGCCUUUUUGUAUGUACUUUAUGAAUAAGGAUCGGCUAACUCCGUGCCAGCAGCCGCGGUAAUACGGAGGAUGCGAGCGUUAUCCGGAUUUAUUGGGUUUAAAGGGUGCGCAGGCGGAAUGUCAAGUCAGCGGUAAAAUUUCGGGGCUCAACCCCGUCGUGCCGUUGAAACUGGCGUUCUUGAGUGAGCGAGAAGUACGCGGAAUGCGUGGUGUAGCGGUGAAAUGCAUAGAUAUCACGCAGAACUCCGAUUGCGAAGGCAGCGUACCGGCGCCCAACUGACGCUGAAGCACGAAGGCGUGGGUAUCGAACAGGAUUAGAUACCCGGGUAA
rnacentral:rRNA from 1 species